CGCUUACCAUCAACAAAGAGUCAAAGUGGAGUAAAGAUGUUUUCAGAUAAGUAAAGUCUUCAGAAAGUAGUUUCUCUGCACUGAUUCUUGAGAUACUUGAGAGUGUGUUCCUCCAAAAUGAGGAAAUAAACAAGAAAUGGGGAAAUGCAAGAUCCAAGAAACAGGAUUUCCAACGCAGGAGAGGAGUGGAAGGACUAUCCAGAAGGACUGAGGGGAAAUGCCAGAGAGACACUGUGUAGCACAUCUAGGAAGCAUCCAGUCCAGAUGAGAGCAGGAACCCAGAGGGCUCCAGAAGUGUCUCCAGAAAAACUUGAAACAGAGAGCACUUGACAUGUUUGAACCUAAGUUCUCAGAGAAGACUCAGCCCUUAAGUGAAGUCUAGAGGAUGCUUGUCCUUGGAAGCCAGCCAUUGUGCUGCAAGAAAGACUGGGUUACACAGAGAGGCCCAUGUGGAGAGAAACUGAGGCCCCUAGCCAUCAGCCCCAGCUGAGCUCCCUGCCGACAUGGAGCAUCAACUUAUUAGCCAGUGAACAAUCAUGAGAAAGUUCUAAAAGUUGAGCUCCGCAUGUUCAAAUGCCAGCAUUUGCCCAGGACCUCAUCCAAGACAAAGCCUACCACUAUCACAGGGCGGAGGAAGUGCACAAGGUCUUGGGUUCAUGCCAGAAUCAGAGUAAGGGAGCCUAUUUUCAACCGAGGAUCUUCCUCUGGCCUCUGAAGUCUGACCUAGACGCUCAUCUCAGGAGGCAAGAGUACUAGCCCCGGAGACAAGACCCCAGCCUUCAAAUCCAGGUUUCUCGUUACUUGGACAGGUUGCUUAACCUCAUGCCUCAUCUCUGCCAAUCACGGGACACCUUCUGAGCUCAAGGAUGGUGGCAGGACCAGAUCAGACCAAAUAAAUUAUUUCUGGUGAUGUUGCAGUUGGAAGAAAGCACCAAGAGGCAGAAAACAGAUAGAGCUAUUUCAGUCAAUGGUGGCACUGCUGGAAAAGUUUACCAAUUCCAGAUUUAACUCUUCAAAAGUAGCAGGGCUCAGAGGGACUGAGAGACCCAGGCACCGGGGAAGAGAGAGACAAAAGAUCUUGUUUGGCAAAAUCACAGGACCCCCAACAAUAAAUCUUACCAAAGCCCUUUUCAAAUCUGGAAUUAUUUUCAUGCAGCUGAAGAAGGUCGGGUUGAUGUGGAAACUGAGGCCCAGCUAGGUUAUGUCAUUUGCCUGAUGUCUAUGGUUAUUCACCUGUGUCUUCAAGUACCUGAUGAGAAGCAGAACAUUCUCUUCCUUACCCUUCUGUCCGUGACAUGGCAAAUAUCAUCAGCUCUGCACACAGUGGAUACGGAUUAAUACCAGUGAAUAUCCACUUCCCAACAAGAAAAAUUUAAACCAAAGACCAAGAGGCAAGCAAGAGUCUACUGACUGCCAGGGUUGGAUGCUGAGAAUGAGAAAUGGCAGAAGAAAGAGGAAAGUCCUCUCUGUGAAUACUCAGCUACUCUAAUAAAGACUCUUCUAAGCAGUCAAUACAGACAGUGCCUUUUACUGGAGCAAGAGCCAUGAGACACAGAGGAAAGAGGAGAAAAGGUGAUUCUAACACACAGGAAGUUUAAGACUAAGAUGGCGGCAUGAGCAGAGAAACAGGAUGCACCACCACAGGAAGAUAUAGGACACAAAGAACACACCACUAUAAAAAAAUAGAUUGCAAACUAUAUGCAUAAGGUGUCUCUCCUCUGUCUACCUAGAGAUGAAAUCAGACCAUGAGCUAAAGUAUGAAGCCAGACAGGUAGAUGGACCAAGAAGCUGAUUUCAUCACCCUGGGACAACUUCAGGACUCUCAAUUUGAACAACUUAUAUUAAUUUCCAACAGGGAAGAAAAUAAACAAAAUACUGCCCUCAAAGAGAUAAGACUCUAAUUUCACUGCUCUCCUCUAGUGUAUUCUCCUACUAAGGUCACAGUGUUACAACGCCUCAUUCUCGGACCUCACCUACCCAUACUCCAGGACUUUUUCUCAUUUUCACAUGGAAUCUCUUUGUCAUCCUUUCUUUCAACUGCUAUUUCUUCUUUCUGUGCUCCAGAAAGCUGAUAUUUGGGAUGCAAAGUGAUCCAGACCUACCUGACAGAUUGGUUCCUUUUCAAUCCCCGUUAAGAGUGUUGAGCCUGCCCUCCAUCACUAUCGUUGGCCUGCCUCCCUCCUCACCCAAUCAAUGGCACAGAGGGGGACAUCAUAAGCAGGUCUCCAAAAUGGAAUUUCAAGGAAAAGAUUCAAUGACCUUGAAGAGAAAUCCAUACAAAUAAGGAAAGAAAUUGAAACAGGAAUUAUGGUGCAAGCCUACCAAAAAUUGGAUCAAAUGAAAGGCUGGGAAGGCUGAGCAAAGAAAAACCCAAGAGCUCUGAGAUAGAGAAGUGGAGGGGAGAAUAAAGGUCCCUACUCCAACAAUGCUGGCUGAUCUCACUUCCGCUAAAGCACAAAGAAGACUUUCAAAGAGCAAACUGGAGCAUGAGAACACUGGUUGGGAGCUCAGGCUUUCAAAGCAGAUAAGCCUGGUUUUGAUUCCCAGCUCUGCCUCUCACCAACUAGGUGAUCUCAGAACAUCGAAGCCCUGCUAUACAAGCACGUACUGCAUGAAAAAGGAGCUAAGAACACAGAGGAAACUUUCCUGCCAAACAGGGGAGUUAUUCCCACAGCAGCAAGAAGUGUAUGUUGUAAGAUGAAGACACUGAGGACCAGAUGGAUUGGAUAACUUUCCCAAGGCCUAACGGGCUGAGCUAGGACUGGGAUCACAAUCUAUCUAAUUCUAAAGCCACUUUCUUUCCACUAUACAGUACUGUCUCCAACUGCAAGAAACCACAGAACCAAACACCACCAGUCACAAAAAAGAGUAGAAACAAGAAUCUUGAUUCUCAGCUCAGUCUUAUUUCCCUUUAUAGCAGAGUAACCAGUGCUGUGAUUGCUUCAAACUGUUUGCCCCAUUAGACUUCUAAAAUGAGUCUAACGUUCCCCUUUUACAAUUCUUAACUCAAUGCCAUAUGCAAUCAGACACAAGCCGUACUAUGCAACAAUGAUGACGGUAAAGGGGCUCAGUGGUAUGGAUCAAUUAUUUCAACAAAUAUUUACUUGUGCCCACUAUACUACAAAGCACUUAGGGUAAAAAAAAUCCAUACAGGCGUAGCUUCAGCCUGGCCUCUGGUCGCCAUUCACAAUACCCUUUGUCUACCUUCUACCCAAUCACACUAUUAUCAUCAGAAGCCAAGAAGACAUUGUCAAAGCAGAGACAGACAUAGACACAACAGAGGGGUGGUUCGAAUUCCCACAAUGAAGGUAGAAUGCCUAUUCAGCACUCUCCUUCUCUGAUCACUCACACAGGUCUGCAACCUUACCCUGGCCCCAAACUCAGUGUAACUUCGGCUCUGGUAUCCAUACUUCCAGUCUAAGCACAGACCCUACCCACCUUGUCCUUUCCCAUUCAGUCAGCCCCACUUACAUCCAAAUCAGUUUUCCAUCACCCCUCAUAUUCCAUGCCAUCUUCUCAAUUCGUCUCUUCUUAGGUAGCCUAUAGAAUCCUGUUCUGUUAACAAGUAAACUCCCAUAUUGCUGUGAACCCUUGCACCAGCAUUCUUUGCACCUGUGUCUGAAUGGAAAUGUGGCUUUCCCUUAAUUAUAAAUAGUUCUCAAACCCCUUUCCCAAAGAAGCUGUUUUCUUUUCCCUAGGCCCAAAUCACAGAAGGUCACAGUUGCUCUCCGCCUCCCUUGCAGUGCAUUGUCCUGCAGCCAUCUAACAAGAGCCCUUCUCCUUGUAACUCUCUUCCCUCACUCCUUGAUGUAGUCUUCUGACCCUUGAUGCCUGGAGCACCUGUUCGCCUGAGACUCCCUCAGCACACCAAGACUGUAUUGAAGAUUGAUGACUUUGGCCCCUCAGGAUCUUAACCUCCUUAUUAUCAAUGACUUUCAUAUACUUUCUGUUUCUCAAAACAAGGCAGUGGCUCUUAAAGCAUAGUCUUUGGACCAGCAGCGUUAGCAUCACCUGAAACAUGUCAGAAAUGCAACUUCUCAGACCCUACCCUAGACCUGUUGAAUCAGAAUUUCUAGGUGUGGGGACAGCAAUUAGCACUUUAACAAGCACUCCAGGUUAUUCCGAUGCGCAAAUGUUUGAGAAC
ensembl:lncRNA